AGGUGUUGGCUUUGGACAUGAGUCGUGAAUACUAUGAGAUGGGAUUGCCCAUUAUUGAAAAAGCUGGAGUGGCUCACAAGAUUGACUUUAGACAAGGACCUGCUCUCCCUCUUCUUGAUCAACUUCUUCAAGAUGUGCGUACAUCAUUUCUCACCAACAUGAUUAAUUUGAUUUUAUCCAUGCACGUUUUACAAACUUAGAAUAAAAAAAUACUCCAUUAAUUUUGUAGGAAAAUAACAAGGGGGCAUUUGACUUUAUUUUUGUGGAUGCUGACAAGAAUAACUACAUAAACUAUCAUAAGAGGGUGCUUGAUCUUGUGAAAGUUGGAGGAUUGAUUGGAUAUGAUAAUACCUUAUGGGUUGGAUCAGUGGCAGCUCCAGAUGAUGCACCUAUGCAUAGUUUUAUUAUGAAUUUACGUGGUUAUGUGAUUGAGUUCAACAAGUAUUUAGCUCAAGAUUUAAGGAUUGAAAUUUGUCAGCUUUCGGUAGGUGAUGGAAUUACCUUAUGUCGUCGCAUCUAUUGAUCUCUCCUUCUUGGCAAUUUGUUUGCAUUGAGAAUAUUUGGAUUUUUAUCAUAAGUAUUUAAACUUUUAAUAAAGCUAUGGCUCAUGGUAUGUAUAACAACAACAAUAGACGACGUGGAUUAUGAUUGAAAUAAAUUUUUAUAGAUUUUUAAUUUAUAAAAAAUCCUAGAGUUUGAAUUAAUUUUAAAGAGAAUAAUAAUAUAUAUGAGAAGAUUCGAGUGUAUCAAAUUUAUUGCUUGGAGUUUGAAAUAAUUUUAAGUUUUAUAUAUAAUGAGUUUGAAUCUUUUUGGUGUUAUUCCUUCGAUUCAUAGGAAUAUUGGGUUUUAGUAAUUCGAAGUUCUAUUGAGAAAUAACUAAAGUCCGGUCAAAAAUUGUUUCAUCUAUAUUGUGUUUCAAAUUAGGAUUAAUGAAGAAAAGUAAUUUGACAUCUGGUGACUGUAAAUAUUAACAAAAAGUUGUAUGUUUGCUUGACUUAGGGAUUAACGAACUAGUAAUACUUCCGACCGUUAUGAAUCGACUUAAGAGAUUAAGGGAUUAUAAUUUAAGAAAGGGUUUUGACUCAAAAGAUUGAUCAAAACUAUUGUGUUAAUUCAACGUAAAACUAGGUCAACAUUGAGAAAGAAAAUGUGCAAAUUAUUUUACACUAAGCAAUAGAGGAUUUGAUGGCUGAUCAUUUGUUUAAUCUAAUCUUCAAACCAUCUUAUCAGUAAAUAUUUGAUUAACAUGCUUAAUCAACGUAGGGAUUAGGAUGCUCUAUGAACUUUUGUUUGGAUGGUUGGAGAUAAAAUUACAUAAUGAUAAUGUUUUUUAAAACAAGGGUAAAAGUAAAAUAAAAAUAUAUAAUUUGUUCCGUUCUGUUCAUUACCCAAACACUGGAAUGAAAAUAAUCAUAUAAUAUUCAAAUAGUGGGAUGAAAUCUUUAUUCCAUUAUGCUCCAUUAUAUUCAAUUUCGCUUUACUGCAUUAUGUUCCAUCAAUCCAAACUAGGUCUAAAGAAGAAAUGAAGAGGAAAAAUGAUAGAGUAAACCACCAAAUUGAUCUUUGUAAGUCACUCUCAAAUUAGUCAUUGAUUCUAUUAAUAUUUUAAAAUAGUCUUUGUUAAAAGUUUCUCAAUUAAGUCACUCGUCAUGUGACAAAAAUAUAUAGACAGAGAUCUAGUUGAGAAACUUUGAUAAUAUUUCAAAAUAGUCUCUGUCUUGAUCAAAAGUUUCUCAAUUAAGUCUUGUCAUGCGACAAAAACAUAAAGACAAUGAUCUAAUUGAGAAACUUUUGACAAAGACAGUGACUAUUUUAAAAUAUUAAUAGAGUCAUAACUAAUUUAAAAGUGAUUUAUAAAGACAGAGACUAAAUCGAUGGUUUCCUAAAAAAAAAAGAAGAGGAUUAGAAGGGAGGGAGAGAGAGAAAAGAGAAAGAGAAAGAGGACUAAUGUUGGAUGAACUCUAAAAUUAUUUUGGACAAAAUGGUUACGUAAUAUACUAAUAUUGCAUUAACAUAGUAGAUUGUCACGUAAGCGGUUCACAUAUCACUUCAUCCACUCUAAUGGAAAAAUAAAUGGAUUUACUAUUUUGAUAGACACAGUUCAAUUUAAGAAGCAUUUUUACAAUUUUAGCAAAUCUUGGCGAAUAAAAUUCUAAAUCUUUACAAUGCAAUUUUUCUUUUUGAUUUUAAGAAGUAAAAAUGGAAUUUAUUAAAAUCACAAUGAAUUCUAACCAGCACAAGGAAUGUUAGAUUAUGAGUCACAAAAUAGAACAUACAAAGAAAAACAAAAGUUGUACUAAAACUCUUGCACCAAAAUUAUUAUUCUUAUUGUUUUUAAAAUACAUUCUUCUCUGCUUAACUUUCAUAUCGUAUCCAUCACAAUUAUUCACUAUACAAGUUUCCUUCUCCUCCCUUUCAAAAAAAAAAAAAAGUUUCCUUCUCUUUAUUAACAAUUUAAGAAACACAAAAUUAUAAAAAAUGAGAACUAAAUAUUUUUAUUAAAAAGUAAACGGACCUAAGCUACUUACCACAUACAAGACCAAGUUCCUUACUACCUAACCUCCCCUGGAGGCCUGGACAACUAGUUAUAUAUUCCUUUAAUUUUUUGGUCCUUGCUACCUAAUUUCUGUAUCUGUUGGACAUGAGCUAAUAUAUGCUUUAUUUAUCUUUUUAUUCUGUGAGCAACCUAGUGCCUCCCACGUUUAUAAGAUUUACAAAUGUUCAAUGAAUAUCAUUGAAUGAUAUUUUCCUUCAAAAAAAAUAAAAAAUGAUUGAAUGAUAUUUCAUUUUCUAUUUACUAUUAGCAUAGCAGUUAACUAAAGAACUUUAUUUUCCAACAUGUCUCCCUGGCUUUGGUUGACAACAACACUGGCCUAUAUGAUUUUUCAUGGAAAAGAAUCUAUUAUAGGUGAGCAAAUUGGUAAUAUUUUAAAGUUUGAUUGGAUGCGUUUUUAUUUUUUUUAAAAAUCAAAUUAAUCCACUGAAAUUGUUAUUGAAGAUAAUCGAACAUGAUACUUUACACUUUAAGAUUCUAGUCAACACCAUUAAACAAACACAAAUAGAUUGGAUGCGUUUUUAUCUAUCAUCUAAUCAUUUAAUAUUUGUGUCAUUUUCUAUAUUUAAUAUUUUUCAAAUAAAUUUAAGUUUUUCUUUUAAGUGUACACUCAAUCAAAUUUCAGAAUAUAUCAAAGAAAUUUUCUGUUAUCCGGCUACUUCUUACCAACCGAGCCUUCUUAGCUGUACGAACAUUUUUUUAGAUAUUACUUUAAAUUAUACUCCCUCCGUUUUAGUUUAAUUGAACAAUUUUCUCAUUUCACACAGAUUAAGAAAAAUGUAUAAAUGAAAGAGAAAAAAAAAAGAAUUUGAGUGUCUUUAUCAAGUAUUGGUGCAUUCUUCUUUAUCAUAAAUGUAAAGUAGAAUAUAUUGAAUUGAGAGUGGUGAAAGUAGUAUUAAUUAGAGUUAUAAAAGGAAAAAAUAGUUAAUAUUAUAUUGAAAAGUGAAAUGGCUCAAUUAUUUUGUGACAUUUUUUUUUUUUGUAAAUGACUCAGUUAUUAUGGAACGGAGGGAGUAUCGGUUAAUGAAAAUGAAAGGAUUUGUAUAUUUCAAACGUUGAUCGAUUCAGUUAAAAAAAAAUUAGCUCUUAUUUUACGAGUUCAGACAACCAGUAUAAAAAUCUCGUUAGUGUCUGAUAUGUAAAUAUCUUUGUCGGCAUAUAUGAACUUUGAAACCUACUUCCAAGAGUUUGUGAAUCCAACCACAUAAACUUUUUUUAAAAAAAAUAUAUAAUUUUUUUUUAUGGUACCUACCUCACUCUUAUCUAUAAAUUGGACACCUUUUUGGAGCUUUAUUCUUCAUCAUCGAGAGUGGUUUCAUAGUCAGAAAAAAUAUUAAGACAAGAACACAAGAGAUGGCUAUCAAUAAUGGAGAGGAACAACAAAACCAAAUCAUUGGACACACAGAUCUUGCUCACAAGACUCUCCUUCAGAGUGAUGCACUUUAUCAGGUUCACUUUCUACAAGACCACAAUUAUUAUCUAUUUUAAUUUAAUAAUUUUUUUUUGAGACAUAUAGAAAUUUCACAUAUUGCACUAAUCUUUGCUUACUUAUAGGAAAUCUUGUUCAAGAUUUUUACUAGUUGCAAUUUAAACUCAUCAAUUGCUAAGUCUCUUAUAUUUGCUAACACUUAAAUUUUGCUUUGUCAUAAAAAAAAUAAAAAAACUUGUGCAGUAUAUACUUGACACAAGUGUGUUUCCAAAUGAACACCCUUGCUUGAAGGAGCUUCGUGAGAUGACAGAAAAACAUCCUCGGUAAGAUCAUACUUUAAUUGUUUGUCUCUCCUUAUAAAGAAAGAAAAAAACAAUUUUGUGUGUUCCAUAAUAAGUACUGAAUGCUAAUUUGGGAAUGCUUAUUUAGUUAUUUUGACUUGUUUAAACUUUAAAGUUAGUGGAUGGAUAUAUAUUUACUUUAAUAAGGAUAACGCAUAAAAUAUGCAAAGUCCGCGGUUCAAAUCUCCGACUAUCCAAAAAAAAAAAACAAAGUAAAGGAUAGUGAUAAUUGCUCAUUUAAUAAUUAAGAUUAUGAUUAUCCUCUAUAAAAAUUAAGGUUAUGAUCAAAUACAUUUUUUUUUUCAGUAACUAUAUUAUUGAUGCAAAAAUAUAUACUAGCACUAGUUUUUUCUUUUACACCUAUACUUGUACUAUAUAUAUGUAAUAAAUUAUGACAUUAUGAAAUUUGUUCCAACCUCAAAUCACAUUUUCAAAGCAUUCUCCAUUUUGUGAUCUUGUGCAAAGACCACACAAUUUUGUGACUUUGUAAAAGGUGACUAAUUAAUUGAUGGAGAAGUAUGGAUGUUUGUUUAUAAAUUGAGUUUAGUCUCAAUUUUGUGACUUUACACCAAUGUUUCGACCUCAAGCCAUAUUUAUUAAGUAGUGUAUGAUUUGGGGUAUUGUGCAAAACCUUCACGGUUUAUUAUGUAAAAGACAUCUCACAUACCCAGAUGUGUUAGUGUUGUUCAUAAAUUAACUUUAGCCUUCAAUUUCAAGCAAAGGAAGACUUUUUGUUGUAUCAAAAGACUGGACGGGGACAAAAUUAUCAAUAUAUUUUUGUUGUAACUUUAGCUUCUCAGAAAGACUAUUAAUUAAUAAUAUACAUGAUGUAAACAUAGGAACCUUAUGGCCACACCUGCUGAUGAAGGACAACUUAUAAGGAUGUUGAUUAAGCUCAUCAAUGCAAAGAACACAAUGGAAAUUGGUGUCUACACUGGUUACUCUCUUCUCUCCACUGCUCUUGCUCUUCCUUCUGAUGGAAAGGUAAGGCUCGACCUUAUAAAAUAUAAUUAAAUUUUACUAUUGCACUGCAUAUUACUGUCAUUGUAAUUGUGAUAUUUAUUUUAUUUAGUUAGGAACGGAGAGACAUUAUAUUCCCUAAUGAAAUUCAUACCAAUAAUAAAAAUAAUAAUAUUGUUCGUCAAACAUCUAAGACCAUCUCCAAUGGGAGGGUCUUAAACAUUUAAAACCCGGUACCUAUUAGGUAUCUCCAUUGGGGUGAAUUUUUUUUAAGGUCUUAUAAGACUCGGGGUCUUAUUAAGACCCCAACUUUAAGUAGGGCCCGCACUUUUUAAUAUUAAAAAAUUAAAAUGUAAUGAUAUAAAGUUAUUGAUAGUUGAUUAGUGGGUUUCAUUUAAGAACUUUGUGUGAGAUCUGAGUUGGAGGGAUUUAAUACUUAUUAGGUACUAAUAUUAAAAAAUUAUAAAUGAGUGAUGUGUACGCGUGAGACCCAUUUAAGAACCUAAAAAUGGGUGUCUCCAUUGUGUUUCAUAAGAACAUUAAAAACGGAGUCAUGUGAUGAUGACAUAGCGAACCACUCUUCCGUUUUUUACUAAAAAAAAAAAAAAGAGUUGUUAAAAUCUUAAAUUAAAUAGGCUGAAGUUUGUUAAGAAUUGAUAUUGAACGGCACAUAAUUAUUAUUAUUUUUGUUUAAGUAAGAAGGAAUACAUAUAUAAUUAAAAUUAAAUAUCCUCCUAACUAAUCAUCAUGAAAUAAUGAUUAACUCAUGAUUGAUGAUUAAUUUUAUCAGGUAUUGGCUUUGGACGUGAGUCGGGAAUACUAUGAGCUGGGAUUGCCAAUAAUUGAAAAAGCUGGAAUUGCUCACAAAAUUGACUUUAGAGAAGGACCUGCUCUCCCUCUUCUUGACCAACUUAUUCAAGACGUGCGUUUGCAUCAUUUGCCACCAACUUUAUUUCAUCCAUGCACGUUUUACAACCUUAGGAUAAAAAAAAUUAAUUGAAUUGGUGUCCAUUAAUUUUGCAG
rnacentral:lncRNA from 1 species